AAAAAAAACACAAAACAAAACAAAAGUAGGGGAUAGAGAUGUGGAUGUGCGGGUAUCUGAAGUUUUUUGUAUGUAAUUUAACGAAACAUUAACAAAAAAACUGACGAAAAGAUAAAAAUAAAACCACAUGACACUAACUCGAUACUGGACUUUGGGUUGAACUGGACUUUGGGUUGAAUUGAAGUUCGGUCAAAACUACUUUUUCUCCGCUGUUUGUUUCGUAGUUAUGAAAGUAAAGUUCCAUCAGUUUUACUAUUUAUUUGGUAGGAAGUGUAUAAUAUAAAACUAUAAUAUAUAUAUAAAUAAUAAAUAUUUUAAUAAAUAAAAAUAAUAUAAUUAUAUUUUUAUAUAAUUAAAAUUUAAUUUAAAACAAUUAAAUUAUUUUUUCAUACAUAAAUUAUAGCAAUACAAUAAUAAAAUUAUAAAGUAAAAAAUAUUAAUACUUAAUUAAUCAAUUUUUAUCAUAUUUUAAAUAUACAAACUAAAUACAAAAUUAUUAAAACUUAACUAAUCAAUUUUUAUCAUAUUUUAGAUAUAUUAACUGAAUAAAAAAAAUAAUUAGUAACAUAAUUAAAUAUAUUUAAAUAUAACUAGUAUUAUCUAUUAUAUUAUUUUAUUAUUUUUUUUCAUUUUUCUUCACCGUAAUUUACUUCAGCCCUAAUUGAGAUUAACUCGAGUUUCGACUGUAACUUUUUUACGGCGAACCAAACAAUGGAAGUGAUCGUUUAGCGCGGAAACGACUUUCCCCCUCUCCACUUCCACCCCACUUCCAUCGAAACAAACAUACCCUAAAUCACAGGACAAUGAAGUGAGAAAGUGUAAAACCGCAGGUGUGGUAUUUGAAUUUAUCCCUUUUAUUAAUGAUAAUAAUUUUUUUUAUAUCUUAUCCAUCACGUGGGAUAAUGGAAAAGAAUCUAUCUAAUAUAUAUAUGUGAUGGGAAAUGUGAUGUGACUUUAAUGUGAAGCAUUUAAAACCACACGUAAAGACCUUUUGGGGGUCUACGUUGUAGAUAAGAAUCAUCAUUGCAUGCACCCAAUGCAUUGAUAAACAUCAUAUAGCUGAUAUAAAUAUUAUAUAAUAUUUUAAUUAUUAGUAUAUUCUCAAUCGCAAUAUUUAUAUUAUUUUUAUAGGGGCAAUUGCUUAUAUGUCCCUGAAAGGUUCCUGACUUUUCAGUUUAUUCUUCUUAGUAGGGGUGGAAACGAGCCGAGCUCGAGCGAGCUUACCUCGGCUCAAAUUCGGCUUGAAAUUAAUUUCGAGCCUAAAUUUAAGCUCAAGCUUGGAUUGAAAUUAAUUCGAGCCGAGCUCGAGCGAGCCUAAUUUCGAGUCGAACGAGCUCGAGCCCUAAACGAGCCGCUUGAAAUUCUCAACAUCAUACGAUCAAUAGUUUAAUUUGUAUAGAACAUUAUCUAUAAUUUGAUAUAAAAAUAUGUCUAAUAGUUCAAAGUACAAAAUAAUUAUAUAAAAAAUAGUAUUAUAAUAUAAAAAAAAAUAAUUUAUGAGUUGAAUAUCUAAUCUUUUCAGCCUCACAUGUCUUUUCUUCCGCCUUUAAUCUCCAUAUUAUUCAUUUUUAUUUAUGCAAUCAAAAAUAACUAAAUUAUAUAGAUAAAUAUUGGAUUAAACUAUCCAAUUAUAUAUAAUUAAAAUUAAAAUUUAUAUGAAUAAUAAUUUUUUACUUUAAAAAUAUUCUGUAUAUUUUCUCAAGUAUACAAUUAAUAGCAAGGUAGGCAACGGCGAGCAUAUACUGUUAUUUAGUAACUUGAAGGGCUUCCGGCUUGGCCACUUAGGGUGAGAGACAGAAAAAGAGAAAGAAUGAAACAUAUUAAAAAUUUAAACUCUGUAAAAGAAAGAAAGAAAGAAAAAAUAUAUAAAUUAAGUGAAAUUUCGCUCUUUUAUUUGUCUAUUAGGUUUGUUUUUAUAGGCCAACAACAUUAGCCUAAUUUUAACUAAACUUAGAUUAUUCACUCAGCCUAAAUAUAAUUAAAAUAUAUUAUAUUUAUAUAUUUUUUAAUAUAUAUAUAUAUAUAUAUAUAUAUAUAUAUUCGAGCUUUUCGAGCUUUUCGAGCCUAAUUCGAACGAGCCGAGUAAUACUCAAGCUCGGCUUGAAAUGAAUUUCGAGCUUUUUUUUUGUUCAAGCUCGGCUUAUUUAAUUUCGAGUCGAGCUCGAGCGAGCCAAAUAUCGAGUCGAACGCGAGUCGAACACGAGCCGGCUCGCUCAUUUGCCAGCCCUACUUCUUAGAAGAUUAAUAUUGAAAAUAUUUUUUCUACGUUCCAAUAUAUUUCUAAUAUACUCAUAGAGUUAAAAUUUGUUACUUAACUAUAUUAUCUCUAUAAAAUUACUAUUUUUCCCUUUCAAAUAUACCGUUCCACCAUCACUGACUUUCUUAUUUGCCCUUAAAGUCAGGGUCUCAAAAAGUAUUUUAACUUUUGGUCUUUUCCAAUAUACCCCUCUACCGUCACCAAUAUUUUUUAUUUGCUCUUAAGUUAAGGGCAAAAUUUGCAUUUUAAUUUUGUUUAACUGUAGUAGAUAUUUAACUCAUAUUUAACCCAAGUUAACUUAACAGGAGAUAACUGUGGGAAUAUUUUACAAUAACUAUAGAACAUAUGAGGGGUAUUUUAGAAAUAAAAAAGAAGUAGGAAAUAAAUCGAAAAUUUUCAAACGUACGAAGGGUAUAUAGGCAAUUAUCCCAUUUCUAUAUUACUAAUAUAUCAAUAAUUAGCCAACUAUUGUAUUAAUAAUUUUGAAAGUUCAGAUAAAAAAUUGCAGAAAUUCUUAAAGAUUGAGGAGCAAAUUGUCCAUCAACUCAUAGUUUGAGGACCAAAUUAAUGUGCAAUUUACCCUAUAUAUAUAUAUAUAUAUAUAUAAAACAAAUUUUUAAGGGAAAACUUCAAAAAACCCCCCUGUGGUUUCUUAAUUUCUCACUUUGCCCCCCUGUGGUUUAAAUGUAUCAAUUUGUCCUCCUGUAGUUUUGUUUUUCUCUUUUUCUUAUCAAUUUCAUUAUUUUUUUUCUUUAAAUUAGUAAUAAAGUUAAAAUUAAAGGGUACUAAAGUGAAUAUUUGAUAAAUAUAGAUGGGUAUCUGAAGUUUUUUGUAUAUAAUUUAACGAAAUAUUAACGAAAAAGCUAUCAAAAAGAUAAAAACGAAACCACAGAGGGGCAAAUUGAUACACUUUAAACUACAGGGGGGCAAAGUGAGAAACUACGAAACCACAGGGAGGGUUUUGAAGUUUUGCCAAUUUUUAAAAGUGUUGACUAGUCAAAGAAUUGCUUUUAU
rnacentral:lncRNA from 1 species